rnacentral:rRNA from 1 species
CUACACGAAGAACCUUACCUGGUUUGUACAUAUAGGUUGUUAGGGAACGUGAAAAGGGAACCGGACCCUUCCGGGAGGCCUAUACAGGUGUUGCAUGGCUGUCGUCAGCUCGUGUCGUGAGAUGUUCGGUUAAGUCCGCUAACGAGCGCAACCCUCGUCGUAUGUUAUAUGUGUCAUACGAGACUGCCGGUAAAAGCCGGAGGAAGGUGAGGAUGAUGUCAAGUCAGCAUGACCUUUAUAUCCAGGGCUACACACACGCUACAAUGGUCUGUACAAUGGGUAGCCAAGCCGCGAGGCGGAGCCAAUCCUGAAAGCAGGCCUCAGUUCAGAUUGCAGUCUGCAACUCGACUGCAUGAAGCCGGAGUUGCUAGUAACCGCAGGUCAGCAAUACUGCGGUGAAUACGUUCCCGGGUCUU